rnacentral:rRNA from 1 species
CGCCUUUUGAAAGUAUAAAAGGUUUAGCCUGCCCACUGAAAAAUUAAAGGGCCGCGGUAUAUUGACCGUGCAAAGGUAGCAUAAUCAUUAGUCUUCUAAUUAAAGGCUGGAAUGAAUGGCUGGACGAGGUGCUAGCUGUCUCACUGGGAUAAACUAAAAUUUAACUUUUUAGUCAAAAGGCUAAAAUAGUAUUGGAGGACGAGAAGACCCUAUAGAUCUUUAUGCUUUAAUUGUUUAAUUCAUUUAGGAGUAGCUGAAUUUUAUAGGAUAAGUAUUUUGUUGGGGUGACAAGAAGAUGGGAUAAACUAUUCUUUAAUUAAACCAUUAAUGUAUGAAUGUAUGAUCCACUAGUGUGAUUAAAAGACUAAGUUACCUUAGGGAUAACAGCGUAAUCCUUUUUGAGAGUUCUGAUCGACAAAAGGGGUUGCGACCUCGAUGUUGGACUAAGGGUUAUUCUUGGGUGUAGCAGCUCAGGGUUUAGGUCUGUUCGACCUUUGAAUCCUUACAU